rnacentral:rRNA from 1 species
CCUACGGGAGGCAGCAGUGGGGAAUAUUGCACAAUGGGGGAAACCCUGAUGCAGCAACGCCGCGUGAAGGAAGACGGUUUUCGGAUUGUAAACUUCUUUCAAUAGGGAAGAAAGAAAUGACGGUACCUAAAUAAGAAGCUCCGGCUAACUACGUGCCAGCAGCCGCGGUAACACGUAGGGGGCAAGCGUUAUCCGGAAUUACUGGGUGUAAAGGGAGAGUAGGCGGCAAGGUAAGCGAUAUGUGAAAGCCUUAAGCUUAACUUAAGGAUGGCAUAACGAACUAGCUAGCUAGAGUACAGGAGAGGAAAGCGGAAUUCCUAGUGUAGCGGUGAAAUGCGUAGAUAUUAGGCAGAACACCGGUGGCGAAGGCGGCAUUCUGGACUGAAACUGACGCUGAGGCUCGAAAGCGUGGGGAGCGAACAGGAUUAGAUACCCGUGUAGUC